rnacentral:rRNA from 1 species
AAUCAACGCUGGCGGCGUGCCUCAGACAUGCAAGUCGAACGAUUAAAGCUCUCUUCGGAGAGUGCAUAGAGUGGCGCACGGGUGAGUAACACGUAAGUAAUCUACCCUCGAGUGGGAAGUAACGUCCGGAAACGGACGCUAAUACCGCAUAAUGCAGCGGCACCGCAAGGUGACAGUUGUUAAAGAUUUAUCGCUUGAGGAGGAGCUUGCGGCAGAUUAGCUAGUUGGUAAGGUAAUGGCUUACCAAGGCUACGAUCUGUAACCGGUCUUAGAGGACGGUCGGUCACACUGACACUGAAUAACGGGUCAGACUCCUACGGGAGGCAGCAGUCGGGAAUUUUGGGUCAAUGGGCGAAAGCCUGACCCACGCAACGCCGCGUGAAGGAUGAAGUAUUUCGG